rnacentral:tmRNA from 1 species
GGGGAUGAACGGUCUCGACGGGGCAGGUUGUUCUCAGAUGGCAGGCCGUAGAGCGUCGACUACGUUAAAAUAGGCGUAACCAUACAAAUGCCAAAACAACUGGCAAGGCCUUCAACUUCGGCUACGCGGCUGCCCCUGCGGCACUCGCUGCUUAAUUUGAAGCCAAACCCUGACCUCCGCUAAGGGGGUCACGGCCCGCUUCGAUGGUGCGACCUGGUCAAGCGCAAGCCGACAAAUACAGGAACGCUGCGACAGCCGACGCCGGUAAUGCUGUCUAAGGUCAUCCGGCUGGUCUGGUAAAGAAUCCCGUUGCACGGAGUCCUCCAGACGACAUCAAAUAGUGCGACUAAGCCUGUAGAGGUCUUUGGACGAAUGUUUCGGACGCGGGUUCAACUCCCGCCAUCUCCACCU